ACGAGGCGGCAGCAGGCGCAAAAACUUCGCAAUGUGGGAAACCACGACGAGGGAAUCCCAAGUGCCAACGAUUUUUCGUUGGCUGUUGCCCUGUCUAAAAAACAGGGAGGGUAAGGGCUGGGUAAGACUGGUGCCAGCCGCCGCGGUAAUACCAGCAGCCCAAGUGGUGAUCGUUAUUAUUGGGUCUAAAACGUCCGUAGUCGGCUUAGUAAAUUCUUGGGUAAAUUGUAAAGCUUAACUUUACGAAUUCCGAGGAGACUGCUAGGCUUGGGACCGGGGGAGGUCGGAGGUACUUCGGGGGUAGGGGUGAAAUCCUGUAAUCCUCGAGGGACCACCAGUGGCGAAGGCGUCUGACCAAAACGGGUCCGACGACAAGGGACGAAGCCUAGGGGCGCAAACGGGAUUAGAUACCCCGGUAGUCCUAGGUGUAAACGCUGCGGGCUUGGUGUUGGGGAUCCUAUGUGGGCGUCCAGUGCCGGAGUGAAGAUGUUAAGCCCGUUACCUGGGGAGUACGGUCGCAAGACUGAAACUUAAAGGAAUUGGCGGGGGGAGCAC
rnacentral:rRNA from 1 species